UAUUGAUCAUAGAUACUCAGAAACCCUAAUUUUUACGUUGUUUCAAAACUCAUUCCCUUGGAAAGAAAGAAUCAAAGGGAAUCGCGGCGAUUAGGUCAAAGACUCUAAGCGAUCUUACAUCGUGAAUCGCCGAUAAAGGUUUGAGUUUGAAUUGAAGUAGUCACAAUGAGAUUCAAAAAGGGAAGUAAAGUGGAGAUCCUAAGCAAUACCGAGAGGCUUAGUGUGGAAUGGCGUUGUGCUCAUAUUGUUUCUGGUAAUGGGCACACUUACAAUGUCCAGUAUGACUGUUCUAGCAUGCCAAGUGAGGCUAGUAUGGAGAGAGUUCCCAGGAAGGCUAUCAGACCAUGUCCCCCUCUUAUUAAAGGUAUUGAGAGUUGGGCAGCUAAUGAUCUUGUGGAGGUUUACGAUGUUGGUUCUUGGAAAGCUGCUUCUGUUUUGAAGGUCAUAGGUGGGAACUUCUACUUGGUUAGGUUGUGGGUAUCUUGCAAGGAGUUAAAGGUCCACAAAGUAAACAUGAGGGUGCGCCAAUCUUGGCAAAAUGGUCAAUGGGUCCUUAAGCCAAUGGGAUUAGGUAAUUCUGCAUCUGGGAAGUCUAGCUGGAAUCUGAUUUCAAACAGUAAUAAGGUGAUACCUGAAGUUCAGCAAGCCAGAAAAUUUUGCUUACCCAGAUUGGGUUCUAGUGGUCUCGAGGAGCCUCAUCUUACCUUUUCCUCAACAUUGAAGAGAGCAUCCCCUUACAACUCCUCUCCUAUUGAGGCCUAUCCCAGAAAAGAGAGGGCUGUUAUGAAUAAGGGUGAGUGUGAAAGACUCAAAGCAGUAUCUACAGCCCCCUUUCUUGAAAAGGUAGAUGCUAUUGCUUACCCACAAAAUAAUAUGGGUGAAAAUUGCAUGUAUACUUCCUUUACUAAUGGUACCAACCAAUAUUAUGAAAUGGGGAAGGAGAAUCCUUGUAAUGUUACAACACUCUUUCUUGAAAGAGUUGAAGAACCUGAUUAUUCUUGUAAUGAUCUGAGUUCAGUCGGCAGUUGUAGUGUGAUGAGUAGUAGUACAGAUAAAUUUUUCAGUGAUACAUCUGCAGGUCCUUGCCAAGAUGAAGAUACCCUUUGUAGUGAUGCAGAAUCUCUAGAUGUUGGAGAUGUGGAUAAAGGAUGCCCUAUUUUUCCAAAAGAGGUUUUAGCUGAAAGAAUUCAUAGGUUAGAGUUGCAUGCAUAUCACGGUACCUUAAUGGCAAUGUAUGUGUCUGGUCCUUUAAGUUGGGAACAACAAGAAUUAUUGACUAAUCUUCGUAUUUCACUCAAUAUUUCAAAUGACGAACAUUUGAUGGGGAUUAAGAACCUAGUUUCAGCUGGUCAGCAUUUUUAAAUGUUUACAAAGUGGAUGUCACCCUACAAUUUUUCAUUUUUCCUUUGAUCUAUGUACAGAAUUGUUAGGUUCUGAAUAAGAGAAGACAUUUUUUGGAAUCAUCCUUUUUUCGUGUUCAUUCUGUAUUAUGGAAAUUAUGUUUCUACUCUCAUUAUGAAAUAUCAAGUUAUGAUGCCCUUUAUUUAUUUGCCCUUGGUUUUUUUAUGUCCUAAUUGUCCUUUUCAACAUUAUGAGUUGUGAGCUUCAACACCCUCAAUGAUUUGCAACUCUGCGAUAUUCAUUUGAUUGUUGAUUUAUUUGCCUACCAAUGAUUAGCAACUAGAUGGAAAUGACUUGUACAACCUGAUUAUAGUUCAUAGUAGUAUGUCUCAAUUUAAAAUAUUGCUUAAUUUGGAUAAAUUUUGUUUAGCUGUAAUUUUAUAGAACCAAAUUUUCCACCAUUUUAUUGUUAUUGAUGAAUCGACUACAUUUUUCCAGGGCCAGUGUAGGAGGCUUCCAUGCCUUGCUUCCAAUGGCUAAAUAUGAUGCUAGGUUUGCUUCUUUCUCUCUGCAAAUUAAUUGGUGACAUCUACCAAUAAUUUUCUUACAGAGAUAAGAAAUUUCUGACCACUGUUUGCUAUGAUGUUUUUGUGCCUUUCACUAAUAUAGCAGAUUUCGGGUCUGCUUAGAACUCACACUUACCAUGUAAUGUCAGGGCAUGAACUUUCUUAAAGCUGCUGCAGCAACUUGUGUCGGGAUUGGGGAGGGAGGAGAUGUUGGACUAGCAUGAAGCUGGGGUUUUCUAUAUUCCACCUCUUCGCAGGAAGGCUUGUGGGAAGGAAGUAUCCAAGGUGAUACGACCAAGUAACUCCGAUGCAUAUUGAUUUUGUUUCCCUACAUUUACAUGUAGCGUCUGACCUGUUUUCCUUAUUACAUUAUAUUCCAUUCGUUUAAUUUUUUUACUUUAGCAGCCAGUGCUGUGCAUUCAAGUUCAUUGUCAUCUAAAUCGAUUAUUAAUUUAAAGUUUCUUUGCAGUUGUGUUUGGCAUUUUAGAUUCAUUACUAGUCUGUUAAUUUGUUGUUAGCUCACUAACUGUGUACUUUCAUUACUGAACCAUUUUUGGUUAUGACAUGAUUUGUCCUAAGUUGAUACUCAGGGCUUUAUCAAUUACCCAAAAAAUUUAGCACAAGACUGUCCCCUCCUACUUUGAUGCAGACUUGCAAGGAGUUUGUUCCAUCCCAGUUGGCUGUCAAGCGUGACGUCAGUGUCUGGUCUUGAUUAAUAUUUUUUUUCCCUUUGCAAUUUUUGGCUUAGUUUAUAAUUCAUGUGAUGGUUCUGCGUUUUAUGUUUUUCUUUUUUAACUAACCAACUCUUUAUCCAGCUUAAGUUAUAUAUAUAUAUAUAUAUAUAUAUA